rnacentral:rRNA from 1 species
GAUGAACGCUGGCGGCGUGCCUAAUACAUGCAAGUCGAGCGAACAGACGAGGAUCUUGCUCCUCUGACGUUAGCGGCGGACGGGUGAGUAACACGUGGAUAACCUACCUAUAAGACUGGGAUAACUUCGGGAAACCGGAGCUAAUACCGGAUAAUAUAUUGAACCGCAUGGUUCAAUAGUGAAAGACGGUUUUGCUGUCACUUAUAGAUGGAUCCGCGCCGCAUUAGCUAGUUGGUAAGGUAACGGCUUACCAAGGCAACGAUGCGUAGCCGACCUGAGAGGAUGAUCGGCCACACUGGAACUGAGACACGGUCCAGACUCCUACGGGAGGCAGCAGUAGGGAAUCUUCCGCAAUGGGCGAAAGCCUGACGGAGCAACGCCGCGUGAGUGAUGAAGGUCUUCGGAUCGUAAAACUCUGUUAUUAGGGAAGAACAAAUGUGUAAGUAACUAUGCACGUCUUGACGGUACCUAAUCAGAAAGCAACGGCUAACUACGUG